rnacentral:rRNA from 1 species
UACGGGGGGAGCAAGCGUUGUUCGGAUUUACUGGGCGUAAAGGGCGCGUAGGCGGUCAGCACAAGUCAGUUGUGAAAUCUCCGGGCUUAACUCGGAAAGGUCAACUGAUACUGUGCGACUAGAGUGCAGAAGGGGCAACUGGAAUUCUCGGUGUAGCGGUGAAAUGCGUAGAUAUCGGAAGGAACGCCGGUGGCGAAAGCGACACGCUGGACCUUUUCUGACGCUGAGGCGCGAAAGCCAGGGGAGCAAACGGG